GGCCAGCAGCUGCAAGGGAAGUAUCUCUAGUUGGAGACUGUCUCCUUUGGAACAUUCAGCAAACCCUGAUGCUUGGUAAGGGGUACCGAUGACAUUCUGGAACAUGAGGAAAAACAACAUUCAAGCAAUAAGACUAUAAUCUCCAUUCUGCUGUCCACUGAAAUUGAGUUUCUUGAAGUCUAUGGAGUGCAAAUGAAAAUCCAAAGGGAGUUUGUACAGACAGUCAUAACAUCUUGAAGACCGUCACUAUGGAGCACCUGAGAUUGCACCUUAG